rnacentral:lncRNA from 1 species
GCAUUCCAGUCCUGGAACAGUCNCAGCUGCUUCACCUCUUGGACUGACCUUCCCUUGACUCUCAAGGAACAGACAGAUUUUGUGUUCUUGCAGUCCUAGGCCUUCCUGUGACCUGAAUGAAAACCCUCCAGCCUCUUUCCCACUAAAGCCACGCUGCAGUUCUCCAUUUAUUUUUUCAGUUAAGAAGGAUGGGGAUCUGGAAGAAGGACACAAGGUCAAAAGAUGCUACACAUUUCUGAGGAAAGAAGAGGACAUUGGGAAGAUGUGCCUUUGAGAAUUCUGCA